AGCAGUAGCCACGGUAAUACGAAGGGUGCAAGCGUUAAUCGGAAUUACUGGGCGUAAAGCGUGCGUAGGCGGUGAGUUAAGUCUGCUGUGAAAUCCCCGGGCUCAACCUGGGAAUGGCAGUGGAUACUGGCUCGCUAGAGUGUGUCAGAGGAUGGUGGAAUUCCCGGUGUAGCGGUGAAAUGCGUAGAGAUCGGGAGGAACAUCAGUGGCGAAGGCGGCCAUCUGGGACAACACUGACGCUGAGGCACGAAAGCGUGGGGAGCAAACAGGAUUAGAUACCCCAGUAGUCCCUGUCUCUUAUAC
rnacentral:rRNA from 1 species